AUUGAACGCUGGCGGCAUGCUUUACACAUGCAAGUCGAACGGUAACAGGUCUUCGGAUGCUGACGAGUGGCGAACGGGUGAGUAAUACAUCGGAACGUGCCUAGUAGUGGGGGAUAACUACUCGAAAGAGUAGCUAAUACCGCAUGAGAUCUACGGAUGAAAGCAGGGGACCUUCGGGCCUUGUGCUACUAGAGCGGCUGAUGGCAGAUUAGGUAGUUGGUGGGGUAAAGGCUUACCAAGCCUGCGAUCUGUAGCUGGUCUGAGAGGACGACCAGCCACACUGGGACUGAGACACGGCCCAGACUCCUACGGGAGGCAGCAGUGGGGAAUUUUGGACAAUGGGCGAAAGCCUGAUCCAGCAAUGCCGCGUGCAGGAUGAAGGCCCUCGGGUUGUAAACUGCUUUUGUACGGAACGAAAAGCCUGGGGCUAAUAUCCCCGGGUCAUGACGGUACCGUAAGAAUAAGCACCGGCUAACUACGCG
rnacentral:rRNA from 1 species